rnacentral:rRNA from 1 species
UACGGGGGGGGCAAGCGUUGUUCGGAAUUACUGGGCGUAAAGGGCUCGUAGGCGGCCAACUAAGUCGGAUGUGAAAUCCCCAGGCUUAACCUGGGGACUGCAUCCGAUACUGGAUGGCUUGAAUUCGGGAGAGGGAUGCAGAAUUCCAGGUGUAGCGGUGAAAUGCGUAGAUAUCUGGAGGAAUACCGGUGGCGAAGGCGGCAUCCUGGACCGACAUUGACGCUGAGGAGCGAAAGCUAGGGGAGCAAACGGG